rnacentral:rRNA from 1 species
UACGGAGGAUCCAAGCGUUAUCCGGAUUUAUUGGGUUUAAAGGGUGCGUAGGCGGUUUUAUAAGUUAGAGGUGAAGAUUCGGGGCUCAACUCCGGACGUGCCUCUAAUACUGUAUGACUAGAGAAUAGAUGCGGUAGGCGGAAUGUAUGGUGUAGCGGUGAAAUGCGUAGAGAUCAUACAGAACACCGAUUGCGAAGGCAGCUUACCAAACUAUAUCUGACGUUGAGGCACGAAAGCGUGGGGAGCAAACAGG